rnacentral:rRNA from 1 species
CCUACGGGAUGCAGCAGUGGGGAAUAUUGGGCAAUGGGCGAAAGCCUGACCCAGCAACGCCGCGUGAAGGAAGAAGGCUUUCGGGUUGUAAACUUCUUUUCUCAGGGACGAAGCAAGUGACGGUACCUGAGGAAUAAGCCACGGCUAACUACGUGCCAGCAGCCGCGGUAAUACGUAGGUGGCAAGCGUUAUCCGGAUUUACUGGGUGUAAAGGGAGUGUAGGCGGGAAAGCAAGUCAGAUGGGAAAACCAUGGGCUCAACCUGUGGCCUGCAUUUGAAACUGUUUUUCUUGAGUACUGGAGAGGCAGACGGAAUUCCUAGUGUAGCGGUGAAAUGCGUAGAUAUUAGGAGGAACACCAGUGGCGAAGGCGGUCUGCUGGACAGCAACUGACGCUGAGGCGCGAAAGCGUGGGGAGCAAACAGGAUUAGAUACCCCAGUAGUC